ACGAACGCUGGCGGCGUGCUUAACACAUGCAAGUCGAGCGGAAAGGCCCUUCGGGGUACUCGAGCGGCGAACGGGUGAGUAACACGUGAGUAACCUGCCCUGGACUUUGGGAUAACCCUCGGAAACGGGGGCUAAUACCGAAUAUCUACGCAUUAUCGCAUGGUGGUGUGUGGAAAGUUUUUCGGUCUGGGAUGGACUCGCGGCCUAUCAGCUUGUUGGUGGGGUAAUGGCCUACCAAGGCGACGACGGGUAGCCG
rnacentral:rRNA from 1 species